AGGGCGGAUUUCAAACACAACUAUCAACCCAGAAAAUCAAACCACUCUAUAAUACAGUUUCAAGUCCGCGUUUCUCAGCUGAGGUUUUCCUUCUUCUCCGUCCCUCAAUUGAUCUCUAUCUCUCUCUCGCUCUACGAGAUUCCUAUCACUUUGCACUCGAACUCCACUCAAGUUUGAGUUUCUCUGAUCAAUUCUCAGUUUGGGAGUUUGCCUCGAGAUCUCGGGUUGAUAGUUCGUGCAAUUGAGGGAGAGUUGGUGGGCUAAGAAAGCUGGCUAUGGACUACGAACCAUACGACAGCAGUGGGACUGAUGAUGAUCUUCCACCACCACAUCAGAAUAGAUUUCCAAGAGGGGGCCGUGUUGCAGGAAAUGGAAGAUCUGCUGUAAUGAGUUCUGUCCCAUACCCUAGGAUGUAUAGUGAAACUGACAUGGAGACACAAAUUCACCAACUCGAGCAAGAAGCAUACAGUUCAGUUCUAAGAGCCUUUAAAGCUCAAGCUGAUGCCAUUACUUGGGAGAAGGAAAGUUUAAUCACUGAGCUCAGGAAAGAGUUGAGAUUAUCAAAUGAAGAACACAGAGAGCUUCUUGGCAGGGUUAAUGCAGAUGAUGUCAUUAGGAGGAUAAGGGAGUGGAGACAGGCAGGUGGGCUUCAAGCCGGUAUGCUUAGCACUGGCCAAGCUGUUCAUGAUCCAGUGCCCAGCCCCACUGUAUCAGCAUCACGCAAGAAACAGAAGUUAACUCAGUCUGUACCCUCUCAAUCCUUUGGUGGACCAUCUGCUUCUUUCCACCCACAAGGAGUUGCUGCUUCCACACAGCCAUCUUCUUCAGCUGCAAAACGAGGUCCUGCUAUGGGAGCCAAGGGCAAGAAGCAAAAAUCUGGUCAGAUAUUGGCUGGUGCACCUUCAAUGAAAAUGCAGUACCCUUCCUCAGGUCCCACUGGAAGGGGUCCAAUUGGUAAUCGUGUUUCUUCUGCUGCCCAUCCAGGUGAACCUACUGAAGGAGCACCGUUUGAUUCCUUGAUUGGGAGGAAGGUUAGAACCAGGUGGCCUGAUGACAAUAAUUUUUAUGAAGCUGUUAUUACUGACUACAAUCAACCGGAGGGUCGCCAUGCUCUAGUUUAUGAUAUUGGUACGGCAAAUGAGACAUGGGAGUGGGUGAAUCUUUCCGAGGGAAUGGAAUUUCGGGAAUUGCUGCUGAAGACUAUAUUAUUUGGUAAUUGUUCUUGGAUGCUAAUGAUGAUGUGGAGGUUAAAGGUUAUAUUAUAGGUGGUCUAUCAUACUGAAGUUGGAAGAUGACAUAGUUGUCAAAGAGGGGCAUUGUGAGGACCCUAACAUGCUCAUGGUCAAGCACCUUCCACCAUGCAGCAUGGUGGCAUGAGAAAGGCAUGCCAGGUGUCUUAAGCGUUGUGGCAGCCUGAUGGGAGCUGACACUCUUUUAAGUCAAGUUGCAAUGUGUGUGUAGCCUCGGGUAAAGAAUCAGUGAUGGUGCACUUGUGCACUGGCACGGGGUUGCUGUGCCUUGGUGCCAGCAGAGUUGACAUGUACGCAGCAGGGAACACGAUUAUAUUGCCAGGCAAGGCAGCUUGCCACACAUGCGUAUAGGAACAUGUGACAUGGUUGGCACAUGCAGAAGGCAGCACUGUGGCGCGUGUGGGAAGAACAAUCCAAGAAAUGCGACUGUGCAUGGGACCUGCAGUUGUGAAGGCAACAGUUGGGCAGCCAUGCCAGGCACGUGUGAGGGGUAUUACUGGCCCAAGCUGUUGAGCAAUCGAGGCAUGUGUGUGCCAGUUAUAAAUCACGUCUUCCAUGCAUGCACCAGUUGUAGCCUCGUCUGCCAGCCAUGUAGCAAAUUCCAAUGAUUCUGUGUGUGUCUGCAGCAUAUGUUGCAUGUCUUUUGCCUGAUCCAUUCUCUUGUCCUGAUAUACCCUAGGCGGUUAGGUGUGUUGUAACACUCAGAAUUUUUGGAAAGAAAGUAAUAUAAAUAAAUAGAGGGAAAUUAUAUAUGAUAACUGACCUGCAAUUCAGUUAGAGAAUUAUAUGAUAUGGAUCACUAUAGUUUGGAAGGACUAGGGUUAAGCUCAGAAUUUGAUUUAGAUAAAUAUUUGAUUAUGGAGACUAAAUUAACCUUUGAUUUCUAGAUAAUGAUAAACCUUGGAGAAUUCUUGGAAGACUUGGAGUUGCAAUCAACUGCAUGUUAGAGAACAUAAAUCAAAAGGAAGAUAUACACUGUCUAGAGAAUUUGAUGAGGAUUAGGAUUAUUAGAAUUGGAAACAGAAGAAUCCAAAAUCAAUAUUGGAUUGGAUAAACCCUGGGAAGGCUAUAAAAGGGUCGAGCCUAUAGAGUCUAAGGCAUCACAAAUCAUAUAGCAAAUUGAGCGAGAUUGUGCUGUGAGCAAUCUAAGUGAAGAGGCUGUCUUGAGGAAAUGAAGGAGAGAAGCAGCAGUGUCCGUAUCAGAUUGUCGAUGAUAGAUCCGAGAUUUCUCCUGAAGAUAUUCAAUGGGAGGGUGAAGACCCUGGAAUUUCUCGUCAGGGAGCUUAUGGUCGAUCAGGACAUGUAUUGGGUAGAUCUGUUGGACGUGAUAGUGGUCCUACAGGUGGAAAAGGUAGGGGAGUGAUGAGGGGUCA